GACGAACGCUGGCGGCGUGCCUAAUACAUGCAAGUCGAGCGCAGGAAACUGACGGAACUCUUCGGAGGGAAGGCAGUGGAAUGAGCGGCGGACGGGUGAGUAACACGUAAGGAACCUGCCUCAAGGAUUGGGAUAACUCCGAGAAAUCGGAGCUAAUGCCGGAUAGUUCAACGGACCGCAUGGUCUGCUAAUGAAAGGCGCUCCGGCGUCACCUUGAGAUGGCCUUGCGGUGCAUUAGCUAGUUGGUGGGGUAACGGCCUACCAAGGCGACGAUGCAUAGCCGACCUGAGAGGGUGAUCGGCCACACUGGGACUGAGACACGGCCCAGACUCCUACGGGAGGCAGCAGUAGGGAAUCUUCCACAAUGGACGAAAGUCUGAUGGAGCAACGCCGCGUGAGUGAUGAAGGUUUUCGGAUCGUAAAACUCUGUUGUAAGGGAAGAACACGUACGAGAGGGAAUGCUCGUACCUUGACGGUACCUUACGAGAAAGCCACGGCUAACUACGUGCCAGCCGCCGCCGUAA
rnacentral:rRNA from 1 species